GGAUGUGAGGGCGAUCUGGCUGCGACAUCUGUUACCCCAUUGAUCGCCAGGGUUGAUUGGGCUGAUCUGGCUGGCUAGGCGGGUGUCCCCUUCCUCCUUCACUGCUCCAUGUGCGUCCCUCCCGAAGCUGCCCGCUCGGUCGAAGAGGACGACCAUCCCCGCUAGAGGAGGACCGGUCUUCGGUCAAGGGUAUACGAGUAGCUGCGCUCCCCUGCUAGAACCUCCAAACAAGCUCUCAAGGAAUGAAGGUAUAGAGAGGGCUCUAAGGCUUAAAGUCACAGUUUUGUGAUUCCUAAGUGAAGCUGGUGUAA
rnacentral:snRNA from 1 species